UGGUGCCGCAGGGGAUGAUGCAGGCUUUCCCCAGCAGGAUGGAGUCAGGCCGACGGCCGACGGCCGGUGGCAAGUCAGGCCGGACUGCAAGGAAGGAAAUGCCAGCGCUGGAGUAGACCUGGGCGGCGCGUCGGCGGCAAGAAAGCAUCCAGCCGCCUGCUCGACAGUGGAGUCUGGGGAGAAGAAACGGGCGCUGCCGCCGCCUACCUCUGCACCGUUGCUGCCAUUGAGCAAUUUUUUAUCAGAGGCUUUGCUUUCGUGGACAAUCAACGAUCUGCUCAACGAUGAUCUCUACAUUGGCAAGGUGAAUCAUAUUCCUUCCAAAUUUGAUUCGCCCAAUCACUUCGUUGAUGUGUAUUCUGGGAUCUUAAUUGAAGAAACAAGAUCGGCAACAUGUGCAGCAAUACAAAAUCUUGCAGUAAGUCAAUACUGUCAGCUGCUCUCAAUUGGAGAAUGCAAUUCUCCAUCUCUUUUCUAUCUCGAUGUGGACCUUCCAAUGACAAGAUCAGAUGAAAUUCAGUGCCAUCACAUGGCCAGAGAUUUUGAUGUAUGCCUGCUAAGUUCUAGAUGUCCCAGAGAUUCUAAUAUUGACAUCAUGUCCUGUUCUAUAGGACUAGUAGUAGGAAUAGGUAGAGAUGAAGAUGCAUCAUUCCAGAAAAGUUUUCGAGUGUUAGUUCCACAUUCUGAAAUGCUCCAGCUAGAUAAAAUAAAAUUUGUUAUCUUUUUGACGAACAUCAAAUAUAACAUGGAGAUAGUCAACAUUCUCUCUCUUCAAGACAAGGGGAAUCAAAUUGCCAUUCAAGCGCUUCUUGAGUUAUCCAAUAAUGUUGAAAAAAGGUGUAAGAUUUGUGUAGAAUCACACAACUACAAAGAUGAUAUGCUCUCAAUGAACAAGAAACAGGGAGAUGAUGUGAUUUCAAAUCUUACAUCAAGUGUAAAAUGCAUACAUGAAUGCCAUACUGAGGUAGUCUGGGCUCCACCACGGAGUAUGAAAGGAUGCAUUUCUACCCUCAUGAAAAAUUUCUUGAAUUUGAGU